rnacentral:rRNA from 1 species
UAUAAUCAAUUAACACUUAACUUACACAUGCAAGUCUCAGCACCCCUGUGAGAACGCCCUAAAAUUCCCACUGGAACAAGGAGCCGGUAUCAGGCACACUUUUAUAGCCCAAAACACCUAGCUAUGCCACAUCCUCAAGGAACCUCAGCAGUGAUUAAUAUUGAAUAUAUGCGACAGCUAGAUUCAGUUAAAGUGAUUAGAGUCGGCAAAAUUGGUGCCAGCCGCCGCGGUUAUACCCAUCGACUCAAAUUGAUUUAUUUCGGCGUAAAGCGUGAUUAAAGUUAUUCAAAAUUAAAAUUAAACCUACAUUAAGCUGUAACACGCUUGUGAUUGGGAAACUCAAAAACUAAAGUUAUUUAACUAUCUCAACU